rnacentral:tRNA from 1 species
GCAAGCGUAGCUCAGUUGGUAGAGCACUCGACUGAUACUCGAGCGGUCAUAGGUUCGAACCCUAUCGCUUGCACCA